CUCUCCCUAAUUACGGUGUCCACAGAGAGAUGAAGCAAUUCAUGGAGGAACCACCAUUCACGACCUUCAUCGGCGGCGAAGUUGCUCUCCCAUCGAACCCCGUCAUCUCACCAGUCUCACGCCACUGUACCCUCCAAACAGAAGAUUAAUUAUUUAUCCUCCAACUGAUCUAAUACUCGAUAUAAGUGAUUAGCUGAAGUAGUACGCAGCAAGUGGUGCACUCGUUGGCUUUCAGGGUAAUGAGGUUAUGCCGAUCGACAUUGCACGCUGAUACUUCUCCUCUCAAACUCGAUCCUUGCGAUUUUGCUUUAUAGGGAGGACCUUUUCGAC
rnacentral:lncRNA from 1 species